rnacentral:rRNA from 1 species
UACAGAGGUCCCAAGCGUUGUUCGGAUUCACUGGGCGUAAAGGGUGCGUAGGCGGUCGGGUAAGUCUGAUGUGAAAUCUCACAGCUUAACUGUGAAACUGCAUUGGAUACUAUCCGGCUCGAGGAAUGGAGGGGAGACUGGAAUACUUGGUGUAGCAGUGAAAUGCGUAGAGAUGCGGAGGAACACCGAUGGCGAAGGCAGCCCCCUGGGCUGACACUGACGCUGAGGCACGAAAGCGUGGGGAGCAAACAGG